rnacentral:rRNA from 1 species
UACGUAGGGGGCUAGCGUUGUCCGGAAUCAUUGGGCGUAAAGAGCGUGUAGGCGGCCCGGUAAGUCCGCUGUAAAAGUCAAAGGCUCAACCUUUGAAUGUCAGUGGAUACUGCCCGGGCUAGAGUCCGGAAGAGGCGAGUGGAACUCCUGGUGUAGCGGUGGAAUGCGCAGAUAUCAGGAAGAACACCAACGGCGAAGGCAGCUCGCUAGGACGGUACUGACGCUGAGACGCGAAAGCGUGGGAGCGAACAGG